UACGGUAGGGUGCGAGCGUUUGUCCGGAAUUAUUGGGCGUAAAGAGCUUGUAGGCGGUUUGUCGCGUCUGCCGUGAAAAUUCGAGGCUCAACCUCGAACUUGCGGUGGGUACGGGCAGACUAGAGUACGGAAGAGGCGAGUGGAAUUCCUGGUGUAGCGGUGGAAUGCGCAGAUAUCAGGAGGAACACCAAUGGCGAAGGCAGAUCUCUGGGCCGUAACUGACGCUGAGGAGCGAAAGCAUGGGGAGCGAACAGG
rnacentral:rRNA from 1 species